UACAGAGGUGCCAAGCGUUAGGCGGAAUCACUGGGCUUAAAGCGCGUGUAGGUGGACGGGUAAGUAUCUUGUGAAAUCCCACGGCUCAACCGUGGAACUGCUGGAUAUACUGCUUGUCUUGAGGCACUUAGGGGCAGCUGGAACAAAUGGUGGAGCGGUGAAAUGCGUAGACAUCAUUUGGAACGCCAAAGGCGAAAGCAGGCUGCUGGGAGUGAUCUGACACUGAGACGCGAAAGCCAGGGGAGCAAACGGG
rnacentral:rRNA from 1 species